CGGCAACAGCUCAAAUUUGAAAUCUGGCUCUUUCAGAGUCCGAGUUGUAAUUUGCAGAGGGUGCUUUGGUGGUAGUUGCGGUCUAAGUUCUUUGGAACAGGACGCCAUAGAGGGUGAGAGCCCCGU
rnacentral:rRNA from 1 species